AGGGACUUUGUGAAUUUAGGG
rnacentral:miRNA from 1 species